GAUGAACGCUGGCGGCGUGCCUAACACAUGCAAGUCGAGCGAUUCUCUUCGGAGAAGAGCGGCGGACGGGUGAGUAACGCGUGGGUAACCUGCCCUGUACACACGGAUAACAUACCGAAAGGUAUGCUAAUACGAGAUAAUAUGCUUUUAUCGCAUGGUAGAAGUAUCAAAGCUUUUGCGGUACAGGAUGGACCCGCGUCUGAUUAGCCAGUUGGUAAGGUAACGGCUUACCAAGGCGACGAUCAGUAGCCGACCUGAGAGGGUGAUCGGCCACAUUGGAACUGAGACACGGUCCAAACUCCUACGGGAGGCAGCAGUGGGGAAUAUUGCACAAUGGGCGAAAGCCUGAUGCAGCAACGCCGUGUGAGCGAUGAAGGCCUUCGGGUCGUAAGCUCUGUCCUCAAGGAAGAUAAUGACGGUACUUGAGGAGGAAGCCCCGGCUAACUACGUGCCAGCCGCCGCGGUAA
rnacentral:rRNA from 1 species